rnacentral:rRNA from 1 species
UACGUAUGGUGCAAGCGUUAUCCGGAUUUACUGGGUGUAAAGGGAGCGUAGGCGGCGCGUUAAGUCUGAUGUGAAAACCCGUGGCUCAACCACGGGAGUGCAUUGGAAACUGGCGGGCUGGAGUGCCGGAGAGGUAAGCGGAAUUCCUAGUGUAGCGGUGAAAUGCGUAGAUAUUAGGAGGAACACCAGUGGCGAAGGCGGCUUACUGGACGGCAACUGACGCUGAGGCUCGAAAGCGUGGGGAGCAAACAGG